UUGAGAGAAUUUGAAGAGGGAUUCAAGAUAUAACACCUGGAGAUUUGGAGCAUCCGGAGGUCGAUUCGUGUGAGCAAAGGCAUCAUGAGUUAGAGUUUGGACCGGAUCGAGAUUUAGGUAUUUCUGCACCCGGUAUCAGGUAUUGGUUGAUCAGAGGCAAAGUCUUUGGAGUUUAGCAAGGUCGUUGCCCGACGUCCGCAGCACUGCUUUCUCCCUUUGAUGUUAUUAGACUGUAUUAAUACAUUUACCUAAUUUUUCGUUGUAUUUUAGACCUUAGUAGAUGCUCGUGAUUUGUGACACCCCGAUGUCGGGCUGUAUUCAUUCUGCACUUGUUUUGUUUCACUAAAUCUGUACUUGUUGGGGAUUUAUCCUUAUAAAUGACUUAAAUUGACUUAUUAAAAUGUUAAAACUGAAUU